rnacentral:misc_RNA from 1 species
AAUGGCAAAAUUUUAUGGUAACAUCUGACUCAUUAUCACUAGAAUAAUUCCCAUUAAAAUAUUUCCAACAAAUAAUUUUCAUUCGUGGUUUUCAAACAUAACAGAAUUUUUCAAAUUCAUACUUGGAACAACAAAUCACAAGAUUGCUACUUAUCAAACAAUAAUUAAUUAGUUUCAUACAGAUAUAAGCUACUACAAAAUAACCUGUCCAAUAAAAAGCUUUGCUGGUGCAAAAUCAGCUCUGGACCUUGCGAACUUGAAUGUGAUGAGUAGAUUCUUGACGCCAGAUUGGCUGCGCUCCACUCUGAACAAGAGUGACGUGCUCUCCUUCUACCAAAAGACCCUUGUUCAGUAAUAGUGUGAGGGCUCGGGAGAAGGUCUCCUCUGCAUCACUUGAGAAUUGCAUAUAUAUUGGCAUAACACCCCGAUAAAGUGACAGUCUCUGCUUAAUCCUCUCUUCAUUUGUGAAGGCAAAUAUUGUUGAUGAAGGUCGAUAAUGACUUAGAAGUACAGCCAUUGAUCCUGUUCUUGUGAAGACAAUGAUGGGUGUAUUGAGAGUGUUAGCCAUAAUUGUGGCAUGGAAAGCAAACAUUUCGCCCAUAUGGCCCUUAUAGGCACCAUCAGCAGGAGGUGUUAUGUUGACUGGAAGACUUGACUCUGUCCUCAAUGCUACUGUAUGCAUGACUUUAACAGCUUUCAGCGGAUACUUUCCAUGGGCAGUUUCUCCAGAAAGCAUGACUGCAUCAGCACCUUCACGUACUGCAAUUGCUAUGUCUGAAACUUCAGCCCUUGUUGGUGUAGGAUGAUUAAUCAUGCUUUCCAGCAUGUUUGUUGCUACAAUCACUGGUUUCUGCAUGCUGUGACACCUUCUAAUGAUAUCUUCCUGCAAUAAAGGAACUUCCUCAAUUGGAAGUUCAGCACCAAGGUCUCCACGAGCAACCAUUGCCCCAUCUGAUGCAGAAAUUAUUGAAUGAAGAUUUGGUAUAGAGUCAGCACUUUCAAUUUUUACAAUCACAUGAAUGUCAGCAUUGCUUCUUUUGAGAUAAUCUUUCAAUUCAUGGACCACUUUAGCAUCCUUCACAAAGGAGACAGCAUAGAAAUCAACUUGGUUGUCCACCCCAAAUUUGAUAUCUUCCCAGUCUUUAUCUGUAAUUGAAGGAAGAUUUGCACUUUUUCCACGCACAUUUAAAUGCCGCCUGGAUUUUAGUUCUCCACCAUCAACUACUACACAUUUAACCAAAUCCUUUGUCUUUGACUUCACAGCUAAUGACAUCAUUCCACCAUCCACCAAUAGUAUGUCCCCAACCUCAACAUCAUUCACAAAGUCAUCAUAAUUUACACUAACAGUGUCCUCUGUGCUGACUCCUCUUCUGAUAGUGAAAUUAAAUUCCUGUCCCUCCUUCAGCAUAAUUGGUUGAGGUACAUCCCCACUUCUAACCUCCGGACCCUUGGUGUCUAGCAUUAUAGAAAUAACCUUGUCAUCAGAUUGAGCAUUAAAUUCUUUAACCAGAUCGAUAGUUUUCUGGUGGGAUGCAUGAUCUCCAUGUGACAUAUUUAGGCGAGCCACGUUCAUUCCAACUUCUGCUAGUUUCCAUAUCAUUUCACGUGAGCUUGUGGAAGGACCAAUUGUACAAACUAUUUUUGUUUUUCUUUGAGCAUAUGAAUUUUUGUUUUCACGUCCCAGAUUCUGGCUGCUAGUCAAAAGCUCAACAGGAGAGUUCACCUUGUCAGAAGUAGUAGUCAAAGGACCAUUUACAGAAGCGAGUGACCCUUUCUGAGGAUUCUGCUCGGUAACCGCCAUGGAUCUAACAGAAAAAACUCGCUUUUGAAAUUGAGAGAAACAUCUGGUUCGAGUAAUUGUGGACUCCAAAAGAGAAACAUCGCUCAGGUUCCUCGAUGAGGAUAAGACGCGAGGAUCCUUGGUGGACAUUCUCGGAGAGAUAUGGUUAAUAGUCGCCAUUUGUAUAAGCUCUGUAUCUGUGUUCUGCUGCGGUUUUCGUUAUGGAGAGUAACAGUGAAACAGAGGCGCAGAGCGAAACAAAAAACUCUUCUCUAGAGAGACAGAGAAGUGAUUCGUUUUGAAUGAUUUAUCAUGUGGUUUUUAUUUGAGAGAGAGAGAGUCUAUUUUGCUUGUUAGGACAGUUGACUGCUCUGCUCUGCGCUGCUUGAGUUUGAGUUUGAUUUUCUGAGAAAAGAAAACGAC